UGGGGAAUCUUGCGCAAUGGGCGAAAGCCUGACGCAGCAACGCCGCGUGGGGGAUGAAGGCUCUCGGGUUGUAAACCCCUUUCAGUAGGGACGAAUCAAGACGGUACCUACAGAAGAAGCCCCGGCUAACUACGUGCCAGCAGCCGCGGUAACACGUAGGGGGCAAGCGUUGUCCGGAUUUAUUGGGCGUAAAGAGCUCGUAGGCGGCUCGGUAAGUUGGGUGUUAAACCCCCAGGCUUAACCUGGGGACGCCACCCGAUACUGCCGUGGCUAGAGUCCGGUAGGGGAGCGUGGAAUUCCUGGUGUAGCGGUGAAAUGCGCAGAUAUCAGGAGGAACACCAGCGGCGAAGGCGGCGCUCUGGGCCGGAACUGACGCUGAGGAGCGAAAGCGUGGGUAGCAAACAG
rnacentral:rRNA from 1 species